rnacentral:rRNA from 1 species
CACGUAGGGCGCGAGCGUUGUCCGGAAUUAUUGGGCGUAAAGAGCUCGUAGGCGGCCUGUUGCGUCCGCUGUGAAAGCCCGGGGCUUAACCCCGGGUCUGCAGUGGAUACGGGCAGGCUAGAGGUAGGUAGGGGAGAAUGGAAUUCCCGGUGUAGCGGUGAAAUGCGCAGAUAUCGGGAGGAACACCGAUGGCGAAGGCAGAUCUCUGGGCCGUAACUGACGCUGAGGAGCGAAAGCGUGGGGAGCGAACAGG